rnacentral:rRNA from 1 species
UACGGAGGGGGCUAUCGUUGUUCGGAAUUACUGGGCGUAAAGCGCGCGUAGGCGGACCUGCAAGUCGGGGGUGAAAGCCCGAGGCUUAACCUCGGAACUGCCUUCGAUACUGCGGGUCUCGAGUCCGGGAGAGGUGAGUGGAAUUCCUAGUGUAGAGGUGAAAUUCGUAGAUAUUAGGAAGAACACCAGUGGCGAAGGCGGCUCACUGGCCCGGUACUGACGCUGAGGCGCGAAAGCGUGGGGAGAAAACAGG